AGUGAACGCUGGCGGUAGGCCUAACACAUGCAAGUCGAACGGCAGCACAGUAAGAGCUUGCUCUUACGGGUGGCGAGUGGCGGACGGGUGCGGAAUACAUCGGAAUCUACUUUUUCUUGGGGGAUAACGUAGGGAAACUUACGCUAAUACCGCAUACGACCUACGGGUGAAAGCAGGGGAUCUUCGGACCUUGCACGAUCGAAUGAGCCGAGGUCGGAUUAGCUAGUUGGCGGGGUAAAGGCCCACCAAGGCGACGAUCCGUAGCUGGUCUGAGAGGAUGAUCAGCCACACUGGAACUGAGACACGGUCCAGACUCCUACGGGAGGCAGCAGUGGGGAAUAUUGGACAAUGGGCGCAAGCCUGAUCCAGCCAUACCGCGUGGGUGAAGAAGGCCUUCGGGUUGUAAAGCCCUUUUGUUGGGAAAGAAAAGCAGCAGGUUAAUACCCCGCUGUUCUGACGGUACCCAAAGAAUAAGCACCGGCUAACUUCGUG
rnacentral:rRNA from 1 species